UACAGAGGUGGCAAGCGUUGUUCGGAAUUACUGGGCGUAAAGGGCGCGUAGGCGGUUCGAUAAGUCCCGUGUGAAAGCCCCCGGCUCAACUGGGGAACUGCACGGGAAACUGACGGACUUGAGUUCGGGAGAGGGAAGCGGAAUUCCGGGUGUAGCGGUGAAAUGCGUAGAUAUCCGGAGGAACACCGGUGGCGAAGGCGGCUUCCUGGACCGACACUGACGCUGAGGAACGAAAGCGUGGGGAGCAAACAGG
rnacentral:rRNA from 1 species